CAACGCCGCGUGGAGGACGAAGAUUUUCGGAUCGUAAACUCCUUUCGAUCGGGACGAAUGACUGGUGACCCAACACGUCAUCAGAGUGACGGUACCGAGAGAAGAAGCCCCGGCUAACUCCGUGCCAGCAGCCGCGGUAAUACGGGGGGGGCAAGCGUUGUUCGGAAUUACUGGGCGUAAAGGGCGCGUAGGCGGCCUGCUAAGUCACACGUGAAAUCCCUCGGCUCAACCGGGGAACUGCGUGUGAUACUGGCGGGCUUGAAUUCGGGAGAGGGAUGUGGAAUUCCAGGUGUAGCGGUGAAAUGCGUAGAUAUCUGGAGGAACACCGGUGGCGAAGGCGGCAUCCUGGACCGAGAUUGACGCUGAGGCGCGAAAGCUAGGGUAGCAAACGGGAUUAGAUACCCCGGUAGUCCUAGCCCUAAACGAUGAGUGCUUGGUGUGGCGGGUAUCGAUCCCUGCCGUGCCGAAGCUAACGCAUUAAGCACUCCGCCUGGGGAGUACGGUCGCAAGGCUG
rnacentral:rRNA from 1 species